rnacentral:lncRNA from 1 species
AACAGUCCAAAUUUCUGGAUUCCAAGAGAAAUGCUUUCAGAUGGAUACAGAAGAAACAGUACAUUGGUGUUGAUGAGUAGAGAGGACAGUGGCUCUGGGGUGUCAUGCAGACUGUGUGGGCUCUGGAGGCAAACUGCCUGGGCCUCAACCCUGAGCUGAGUAGCUGGUAAUUUAGAGGUUUAGUUUUCUUAUUUGGGGUUGUUGUGAGGAUGAAAUGAAUUAAUUCAUGGAAAGCCGUAAGAACAGAACCUGGCACAUACUAAGUGCUCAGUGAAAAUAGGAGUCAUUAUUAUUCCAGAUAAAAUCAGUAUCCAUUCCAAAUGCUACAAAUCUGGAGACAGAGUAGAACCUUCUACUCAGACAGCCUGGUUGCCAAUUUUGGCUUCAACACUUACUAGCUGUUAUGACUCUAGCCAUAUUACCCAACCAUUUUGUGUUUCCAUGGCUCCAUUUGUAAAAUCAGCAUUCAAAUUUGUAUCUGGUGCAUGCCUGUAGUCCCAGCCACUUGGGAAGCUGAGGUGGGGGAUCACUUGAGUCCAUGACUUCAAGACUAGCCUGGUCAACAUAGCAAGACCCCCACCUAAAAAAAAA